UUUCUUUCUCUCCUCUCUC
rnacentral:sRNA from 1 species